AAUGGUAAAUGGAGCAACGGUUACGCGUGAAGCGGGUCAGGGGAGGAAUCCAGCAGCCCUAAGCGAUGGUGAGCGUGUGCUCUUUUUUUAUUUAGGUA
rnacentral:SRP_RNA from 1 species